AGGGCAUGUUUUCUUCAUGAAGACAUUUUCAUCUUCUUCAUCAUUCCCCUUCCUCAUCUACACCCCCAACACUUAAUUUCUUCAUACCUUCAUUCCGUUUCUUCGUAAUCCUCUUCCUAUCAAGUCCUAAUUGAUUCAAAAUUUCAUUUUUCGACAAUAAAAAAGGCUUCAAAAUUGAUGAACAGGAUCUUUAUGAAAUUCUUUAGUGUAAUUUUGGUGGUGGUAGCCAUCGUGGUGGUGACAGCGGUGGUGGUUGCCAGAGGUGCUGAGUUUGGAGGAUUGAUGGGAAAGUGAAAGUGGAGGAAGUUAGAGCUAGCUUAAAUAUCACGUGACGUCAAAUGUUUGUGGAGUGAGUAUGUAGACAUAGAAGAAUGUGCCUUCUUGAGAUGUGAGAUGCUAAAAUAUGCUUAUGCUAAAGGUGAGAAAAAUGAUAAGGAAAUAUGGUUGGCAAAGUAUUGGCAUUUAAGCAUCAAUGGACAGAUGCCAUACACAAAAUCCUCACAGUUAGCAAGCAGUGUGCAUCUAAUGCUCCACGUCGAUGGAUAGUAGGAAUUUGGUUUCAAGUGGGCGUUUGAUUGGAAUUUGGAAUUGGCUUGAAGGUGACCUUAUUAACAUGAUCUCAUGUUUCCCAUUCCGUCUCUCCAUUCGAGCCCAACUAAUUCAGAUCGUGUGUUGCACGGUCCAUUAUGGAGAUAGUGCUCCCAACAGAAUUUAGCUAGCAACAUACAUUUUCAAGGAACCUUAACAUGAUGUCGUGAUUUCCAAACGAGCAAUUAAACUAGAAAGAUUUGAUUCUGUUUAAUUAACGUAUAUUUUCAUCUUAUUUAUUACGCAUCAAUUUGAUGCAGCGGUUAAUUUUUUACUUUAAUAGUAUUAUAUG